CUUCCCUCCCCUCCCCCAGGAGACAUUUUGGUCACGUCCCAGCAGCAGGUACCCGAAGAGCCAGGGUACGAGCGACCAGAGCCCUAGUCAGGCUCCUUCGGAGGGCAAGCAUGGCGCGGCUUCGAGCGCUGCGAAGGGCAGCGGCCGGUAUUCUUCCUUAAAUUCCUUCUCCUGUGGCUUCUCUACUGAUUAAAACAAAAACAGCAACCAAGAAGCUCAGAGAGACUAAGAGACAAAGGUAACAAACCAGCUUUGUCGUGUUCCUGGUCCAGUGGUGCGUCAGCAAAUGGAAGCACCUGUAGUUCAUCAGCGGAGUGAAGCCCAUCAUUCUACUGGCUCUCCAAUUCUGUCUAGGACAUGGUUUCCAUUUCUAACAGGAACAGCCAGCAAACAAAGGACCCAAAGUGAUAUGUGAGAUUUUUGAGGGGAAAAAAAAUGAAGAAGGUGGUUUUAUUAUUCCUAAAUAUCCAGGUAAACACUUGAAAAUCAGUUUACCUUCUGGUCAGAAGUAUGGAGCAGGUAGGAAAAAAAAAACUAGGGAACAAGUAGAUUUGAGAAGUAAAAGGAAAAAAAGUACAAAGCAACUAAAGAAUUAUAAACAACAGAGGCAGAUAACCAAGAUGUGACACUGUUCUAGGAGCCACUAAGUUCACGUAGACAGUGCUGAAGGCUGAGGGGAGGUCCUGGUGGAUAGGAUCCAAAUAAGACAUUUCAAAUCUCUUGUCAUCUAAGAUACACUACGAAGUUGAGAUUAUGGGGGAAAGAAAAAUUAGUUUAUGCUUUUAAAAAGUCUGCCUUUUGUUUAAAAUUAGGUUGAGGUAAAUAUUUCCCUUAAGUCAGUAAGAAAGUGAAAUCAGCAAGAAGAUAAAUUUUAAUAAUUACUUUCAAACUGAGAAAUAAGAGGAAAACAAAAAAGUUAAACUACAGUAAUUCAGCUUAACAGUUUAAAUUAAUCCAUUCCCCCAAGUUUUACAAGCAAAGAUAUACUUACUGUUUUUAGAUUAACUGUAAUUUGUGUAAAAAAAAAUACUAAAUUAUGAGAAAAUAUCAUACAUUAUCCUUUUCCUACCUAUACAUGUGUUCUGUGUUCCAGAUCCCCAACUUCUCAACCUUUCUUCCCAUGUAUUUCAUAUUCAUAUCUAAACUUUAACAGUUUUUCCAAAUUGGAAAAAAUUUCAUUAUUUAAGGCUCAUUGUUUUAAUUGUAAGCAAAGAGCUCAAAUUCAUUUUUAUCUCUAUAAUCACAAUAUAUUCCGAUAUAAAACAAAGGAUUAUUUUUUCCUAUGGAACUUUAGUUUUUAUAGCUUAAAAUCUUAAGUAUGUUCUUCAUUAAAAUUCAAUGUAAUUUAGAGAGAUGAACUUACCUUCUUUGGGUGGUUUUUCUAAUUUGCACCAUGGCACCAGAUAAGUAAUUUCACUCUCUUGUUUAUCAGUAAGACCCAAAAUUGGAAUGAGUAAUUGUUCUCGCCAUUCCUUAUCAUUGGCCAAGGCUUUCCGAACUUCAGUUUGCUGAGCAAAAUUGUCUAUGGGAAUAACAGGAGUAAGAAAAAUAAAAUUGUUUGAUUUAAAAUCACCUGUACACCUUUAACAUAUAUAAUAUUGUACAUCAACUAUACAUCAAUAAAAAAAUAAAAUCACCUGUACUUUUUCUGGGUUCCAUUCAAUUUAGCAAAUGUUUAUUGAGGCCACAUAAGGACAAUGUGUUAUAUCACUAGAGAUACCAACAUAUGUAGUUAGUUGCUCAUGGUCUAAAGGGGAGUGGCAACGUAAACAACCAAUGAUGACAUAUAAUAAUGGGCUUUAUAGGUGCUACCAUUUAGUAGGUAGUUGUGAGACUUAGGUAAGUUAUUGGAUCAUUCUGUGCCUGUCUCUUAUUCUGUGAAAUAGGGAUAAUGAUAUAGUAGCUACCUCCAGGGCUGUUGUGAGGAUUAAAAGAAUUGGUAUAUGAAGGGAGCUUAGAACAAUGUUUGGCACCAAGUGAGUACCCCGUAUAUAUUAUUUAUUCUUAUUAUUUGAGGCAUUUAAGUUAUAGUGUUAGUUUAGAGAAAGACUGUUUCUUUGGUAGUGCUGGUGGUGGGUAGUCAGGUCAAGGUACAACUGAAUUAAAUUUAACAUAAAUGAAAUUAAGAUUUGCUUUUUCAGCCUCUUUGAACAAACAGCUUCCAAAGAAACAGUGCUAAUUCUCUUACUUAUUGACACCCAUUCUUUUUACCCAGUACUGUUUCUCUUCUGUUAC